AGCUUGAAGAGGAUGAAAAGCUGAAAAAGAGGAAGGAACGGUUCGGCAUUUCGACAGGCGCAGCUUCAGUUGCUUCAGCCGAUGUCGAGGCAAAGAAACUGAAGCGUGCUGAACGAUUUGGAAAAAUGUGAUUCCUGUUUUAGAGGCUGUGUUUUUUUGUAAAGCGUUUUCAUUACUGCACAACAGAGUUCCCCGAAGACGACAAAUGUCCUUUAGAAGACUCCUGUAAAUCAAAAGUGUAAUUAAAUGCAAAGACGAAUGGGUGAGUUGGAUCAUUCAAAUGGUUUGGAAAACAAACAAAAAGAAAAAAGCUCUCAAUUAUUUUCUGAGACUCGAGUCGGACAUUAAUGUAGAUAAAACAAUUUAAAAUCAGACCACUUUAUUAUUUACCAGAGUAUCAAUUUCUCAGUUUUUGCUUUACUUUUAUAUCAGAAAUAGAUGUGUGUUUAAAAAAUGGGCAGCAUUAGCACCCGUCUUAACAUGAAGGUUUUGCUUCACUCAUCUUUCCUGAACGUAUUUUUUCAUGUUUAACUGAUUUCUUAAAGCUGCAAUGAAGUCCAUAAAUCGAACAGCUCCUGCAGCUGCUUCUUCACAGUGAAACCCUCCCAGCUGUUCACGGGAAUAAUGUGUUCUCCAUCUGGAAAAUUCUAAAUUAAAUCAGCGCAUUAAACAAUCUGAAAUUUUCCAAAUGAAAUAGAAAAUGUGAGCAAGUCGAAGGCAUGCAUUUACUGUGGAGCAGCUGCAGGAAGCGAGAAGGGUCGAAAUCUUUUCACGUUGUUAAGUUGUAUUAAAUCUAGAUAAGGGCUUUUUGGUGCUUUUUGAGAGUGCAUUACUUUAGAUAGACUGUUAUUUAUGACUAAGCAUAUAGACGAGCAAAUUAGAAACCAGUGAGGCUUUUGGAUAGAAAUAAGAAUAGAAACAAAACGUAAACUGUGUGCAGGAACUAAAAGCAAACUGGUGUUAAAAAUGUCUCAUUGUCACACAAACAACAAGGAAAGUUUGAGAUUUUUGUCUGUAGAAAUUGAAAAUGUUUAACACAUUCACUAAAAAAAGUAAAGUCUUAAUACCACAUACUUGGUACUUUUACUGUAAGUCAUGUAUUUCUGUUUAUUGGAAGUAAUGCAGUUAAACCUUUUUCUAGUAAUCCAUUUAAAUUGUUUAACUCACUUAUUUUUUUAAUUUCCUGGAUGUAUUUAAUUGUACUUUUGAUUAAUCAGGAGCCUGUUAUUGUUUUGUGUUUUCUCUUUGGGAUUUCACUGGUACACUGCUUCAGUUAUCUGUCCAUUUUAUAACAUUUUGUGAUUUAAAAUAAAUUGUUUUCAAUUUUUUGA